CAUGUAGGUGGAUACUUAAGUCUGUUGUGAAAAUGCGGGGCUCAACCCCGUAUUGCGAUGGAAACUGGGUGUCUUGAGUGCAGGAGAGGAAAGGGGAAUUCCCAUUGUAGCGGUGAAAUGCGUAGAUAUUGGGAGGAACACCAGUGGCGAAGGCGCCUUUCUGGACUGUGUCUGACACUGAGAUGCGAAAGCUAGGGGAGCGAACG
rnacentral:rRNA from 1 species